rnacentral:piRNA from 1 species
UGCAAAGCCAUUUGNAUUUUCAUGGCAGGU